AACGCACAUUGCGCCCGCCAGUAUUCUGGCGGGCAUGCCUGUUCGAGCGUCAUUUCAACCAUCAAGCCCCCGGCUUGUGUUGGGGACCUGCGGCUGCCGCAGGCCCUGAAAUCCAGUGGCGGGCUCGCCGUAGCACCGAGCGUAGUAGCAUACUUCUCGCUCCGGUAGCAGCGGCGGGCGCUUGCCGUAAAACCCCCCCCUAAAAUCUCAAGGUUGACCUCGGAUCAGGUAGGAAUACCCGCUGAACUUAA
rnacentral:misc_RNA from 1 species